rnacentral:tRNA from 1 species
CAGAAAAUAGUUUAUUUAAAAUAUUAAUUUUGGAGAUUAAUGAAAGGAGGUUUCUUUUUUCUGA